rnacentral:rRNA from 1 species
ACUCCUACGGGAGGCAGCAGUGGGGAAUAUUGCACAAUGGGCGCAAGCCUGAUGCAGCCAUGCCGCGUGUGUGAAGAAGGCCUUCGGGUUGUAAAGCACUUUCAGUCGUGAGGAAGGUAGUGUAGUUAAUAGCUGCAUUAUUUGACGUUAGCGACAGAAGAAGCACCGGCUAACUCCGUGCCAGCAGCCGCGGUAAUACGGAGGGUGCGAGCGUUAAUCGGAAUUACUGGGCGUAAAGCGCAUGCAGGUGGUUUGUUAAGUCAGAUGUGAAAGCCCGGGGCUCAACCUCGGAAUUGCAUUUGAAACUGGCAGACUAGAGUACUGUAGAGGGGGGUAGAAUUUCAGGUGUAGCGGU